rnacentral:lncRNA from 1 species
GUUGUCGCUGCGCUCAAGAAGAAGUGCUGCUCUACAAAACCCAAUCCGUGGGACUAUGGGGUGAUGGAUGACCUCCCCUCUGUCGGGAGAGCGGAGUUGCCAUCGCUGGGAAAAAGCAACAUCAAGCCCAGGAAGAAGAGCGGUAGUGCGGGGAUUUCUAUCAGCGUCUACCCCUGGAAGAGUGAGCCGGAGAAUUCGACCUGGCACGUUUCCAAUCUGUCCUUUGCCAAUCCGUUGUACAACUGCCCCGGUGGUGCUAAUGGGCCGGACCGCACGAGCUCUGAAGCACAGCAGUGAAUGACUUUGCAUAUUCAAACUACGCGUUGGGAGUUUGUCUUGAGCCAUUGAGUUGUCAAAUAUGCUUAACAAAAACAUGCUGGCAUUUUAGAGACGUGUGCCUUCGAUUGAUAGGCUCCAAUAGGUUUGAUGUCAAAUUUAAAAAAAUGGAGGGCUAAGUCUCUUAAGAAAUCUACAAACAGAUGCCGAUCACUAUCAUUAUUUGGCAUAUACAACCUGUGGCCUAAAGUCUUUUUAACUGAUAACAUUCCCUACAGUGUGAUUGAAUUCCACCACCUUUUAAUUGUGUGAAAGAAAAUCCCACCUUAGUUUAUCUGUGCUGAAAGAGAGGACAUUAAACUUUAUGCCAGCUUUUGUUUCAUGCGGCUAGGCUCAGUAAUUACAUAAAUAUUCCCCACAAACCAGGACAAAACAUCUGCAUUUUCUCAGACAAAAUCUACCAUGGAAUUCCGGCUUUCCUCCACCUCAGUAUUAAACUAUUAUUAUAUUGAUGGACUUCACAGUGAUGUAAAAUGAGGUUCGUGACUGGAAAACUGAGAAAGUUAUGUGACUGAAACCCAUCUACCAGCCUAAUAUGAUUUUCAGAAGAAGACUCACUAGAUUUCUUUACAUGUUUGGGUUUUUCCGGACAUAAAAGGACUGUGUGUGUUUUCAAAGACAACAGCAACAGAAUUCAGACACACAGCGGUUUUGUUUUGCACUUUGUAGAGUUUAUCCAAAAUAGUCUUUCAAAUGGAGUCCAAACUUCAUUAGUAUCCGUUUCAAUUCCCACAAAGUGCUUGUAAAAUUGUUUGGCUCUGUUUUAUUUGUGAAUAAAAAACCAUUACAAGUCAGACUUCCAGCUGGUUUGUGAGACAGUUUUUCUUACGAACAAAUGCAUCAUAAAC